rnacentral:rRNA from 1 species
AUUGAACGCUGGCGGCAGGCCUAACACAUGCAAGUCGGACGGUAGCACAGAGGAGCUUGCUCCUUGGGUGACGAGUGGCGGACGGGUGAGUAAUGUCUGGGGAUCUGCCCGAUAGAGGGGGAUAACCACUGGAAACGGUGGCUAAUACCGCAUAACGUCGCAAGACCAAAGAGGGGGACCUUCGGGCCUCUCACUAUCGGAUGAACCCAGAUGGGAUUAGCUAGUAGGCGGGGUAAUGGCCCACCUAGGCGACGAUCCCUAGCUGGUCUGAGAGGAUGACCAACCACACUGGAACUGAGACACGGUCCAGACUCCUACGGGAGGCAGCAGUGGGGAAUAUUGAACAAGGGGCGCAAGCCUGAUGCAGCCACGCCGCGUGUAUGAAGAAGGCCUUCGGGUUGUAAAGUACUUUCAGCGGGGAGGAAGGCGGUGAGGUUAAUAACCUCGCCGAUUGACGUUACCCGCAGAAGAAGCACCGGCUAACUCCGUGCCAGCCGCCGCAGUAA